GAUGAACGCUGGCGGCGUGCCUAAUACAUGCAAGUCGAGCGAACGGACGAGAAGCUUGCUUCUCUGAUGUUAGCGGCGGACGGGUGAGUAACACGUGGAUAACCUACCUAUAAGACUGGGAUAACUUCGGGAAACCGGAUCUAAUACCGUAUAAUAUUUUGAACCGCAUGGUUCAAAAGUGAAAGACGGUCUUUCUGUCACUUAUAGAUGGAUCCGCGCUGCAUUAGCUAGUUGGUAAGGUAACGGCUUACCAAGGCAACGAUGCAUAGCCGACCUGAGAGGGUGAUAGGCCACAAUGGAACUGAGACACGGUCCAGAGUACUACGGGAGGCAGCAGUAGGGAAUCUUCCGCAAUGGGCGAAAGCCUGGCGGAGCAACGCCGCGUGAGUGAUGAAGGUCUUCGGAUCGUAAAACUCUGUUAUUAGGGAAGAACAUAUGUGUAAGUAACUGUGCACAUCUUGACGGUACCUAAUCAGAAAGCCACGGCUAACUACGUG
rnacentral:rRNA from 1 species